UGCUGGAGGUAUCAGAAGUGCGAAUGCUGACAUAAGUAACGAUAAAGCGGGUGAAAAGCCCGCUCGCCGGAAGACCAAGGGUUCCUGUCCAACGUUAAUCGGGGCAGGGUGAGUCGACCCCUAAGGCGAGGCCGAAAGGCGUAGUCGAUGGGAAACGGGUUAAUAUUCCCGUACUUGGUGUUACUGCGAAGGGGGGACGGAGAAGGCUAUGUUGGCCGGGCGACGGUUGUCCCGGUUUAAGCGUGUAGGUGUGUGUUCCAGGUAAAUCCGGUUCACUUUAACACUGAGGCGUGAUGACGAGGCACUACGGUGCUGAAGCAACAAAUGCCCUGCUUCCAGGAAAAGCCUCUAAGCAUCAGGUAACAUCAAAUCGUACCCCAAACCGACACAGGUGGUCAGGUAGAGAAUACCAAGGCGCUUGAGAGAACUCGGGUGAAGGAACUAGGCAAAAUGGUGCCGUAACUUCGGGAGAAGGCACGCUGACACGUAGGUGAAGUGAUUUACUCACGGAGCUGAAGUCAGUCGAAGAUACCAGCUGGCUGCAACUGUUUAUUAAAAACACAGCACUGUGCAAACACGAAAGUGGACGUAUACGGUGUGACGCCUGCCCGGUGCCGGAAGGUUAAUUGAUGGGGUCAGCGCAAGCGAAGCUCCUGAUCGAAGCCCCGGUAAACGGCGGCCGUAACUAUAACGGUCCUAAGGUAGCGAAAUUCCUUGUCGGGUAAGUUCCGACCUGCACGAAUGGCGUAAUGAUGGCCAGGCUGUCUCCACCCGAGACUCAGUGAAAUUGAACUCGCUGUGAAGAUGCAGUGUACCCGCGGCAAGACGGAAAGACCCCGUGAACCUUUACUAUAGCUUGACACUGAACAUUGAGCCUUGAUGUGUAGGAUAGGUGGGAGGCUUUGAAGCGUGGACGCCAGUCUGCGUGGAGCCGACCUUGAAAUACCACCCUUUAAUGUUUGAUGUUCUAACGUGGACCCGUGAUCCGGGUUGCGGACAGUGUCUGGUGGGUAGUUUGACUGGGGCGGUCUCCUCCUAAAGAGUAACGGAGGAGCACGAAGGUUGGCUAAUCCUGGUCGGACAUCAGGAGGUUAGUGCAAUGGCAUAAGCCAGCUUGACUGCGAGCGUGACGGCGCGAGCAGGUGCGAAAGCAGGUCAUAGUGAUCCGGUGGUUCUGAAUGGAAGGGCCAUCGCUCAACGGAUAAAAGGUACUCCGGGGAUAACAGGCUGAUACCGCCCAAGAGUUCAUAUCGACGGCGGUGUUUGGCACCUCGAUGUCGGCUCAUCACAUCCUGGGGCUGAAGUAGGUCCCAAGGGUAUGGCUGUUCGCCAUUUAAAGUGGUACGCGAGCUGGGUUUAGAACGUCGUGAGACAGUUCGGUCCCUAUCUGCCGUGGGCGCUGGAGAACUGAGGGGGGCUGCUCCUAGUACGAGAGGACCGGAGUGGACGCAUCACUGGUGUUCGGGUUGUCAUGCCAAUGGCACUGCCCGGUAGCUAAAUGCGGAAGAGAUAAGUGCUGAAAGCAUCUAAGCACGAAACUUGCCCCGAGAUGAGUUCUCCCUGAGACUUAGAGUCUCCUGAAGGAACGUUGAAGACGACGACGUUGAUAGGCCG
rnacentral:rRNA from 2 species